UCGUCUGCUCCUGCCGCUUUCUGUGCACGUGUACGCCUUUUAGUAUGCUUCGCAGUUAAACAUUUCACUUCUGUGCCCGCGAACCUUGCGGUAAUGUUGGAAAAACUGAGAAAAGGACACAAGGCGUGCUGCGUGCGCUGUGCGGUGUGGCAGUUCGGGGGGCAACGCAAGGACGCAAUUUUUCCGUUUUCCCCGUGGACGAGAGGCCCUCACCGGGUUUAGUGACCGUGGGAGCUGCGGCCUGGCUGGUCAUACGGUCUGGUCUAUUCACCCAUUUCUGGCCGAAUAGACCAACCAAUCACAGCGGAGUACGCGCCCGCCACUGGGUUCCUUGCACCACCACCAGAUGGAGCUCGCCUUAAAGAGAUACGUGGGGUCAAUUCAACAGGAGAAAACCAUCUCUGCCUGGCCUCACUGCCAUAACUGCCAAUCCCAAGAUCAUCCCGUGACUAGCCACGAGCCCGCCUGUACGUCACGGCCUACGUCAUCACUGUACCACAGUGCCAUCUCUACAUAAACCCGACGCAAGCACUGGGCCGCUUCACUUGGCAGCGGCUAGAGCAGCGGGACAGCACGGCUUACGCUGUGUCUCCUCUCCUAUGCAUCGCAGGUUAGGCACUAUGUGCGACUGAAGUAUUCACGUUGCUUAUUUGAUGCUGUCGCUACUGCCAAAUUAUU